rnacentral:rRNA from 1 species
UACGUAGGGUCCAAGCGUUAUCCGGAAUCACUGGGCGUAAAGCGUGCGUAGGCGGUUUGUUAAGUGAGAUGUGAAAUCGUGUGGCUCAACCAUAUCGUUGUGUCUCAUACUGGCAAACUAGAGGAUAGCAGAGGCAAGUGGAAUUACGAGUGUAGCAGUGAAAUGCGUAGAGAUUCGUAGGAACACCAAUGGCGAAGGCAGCUUGCUGGGCUAUUUCUGACGCUCAGGCACGAAAGCGUGGGGAGCGAACAGA